rnacentral:rRNA from 1 species
ACGAACGCUGGCGGCGUGCUUAACACAUGCAAGUCGAACGGAAAGGCCCUGCUUGCAGGGUACUCGAGUGGCGAACGGGUGAGUAACACGUGGGUGAUCUGCCCUGCACUUCGGGAUAAGCCUGGGAAACUGGGUCUAAUACCGGAUAGGAGCCAUUUUUAGUGUGAUGGUUGGAAAGUUUUUUCGGUGUAGGAUGAGCUCGCGGCCUAUCAGCUUGUUGGUGGGGUAAUGGCCUACCAAGGCGGCGACGGGUAGCCGGCCUGAGAGGGUGGACGGCCACAUUGGGACUGAGAUACGGCCCAGACUCCUACGGGAGGCAGCAGUGGGGAAUAUUGCACAAUGGGCGCAAGCCUGAUGCAGCGACGCCGCGUGGGGGAUGAUGGCCUUCGGGUUGUAAACUCCUUUCGCUAGGGACGAAGCUUUUUGUGACGGUACCUAGAUAAGAAGCACCGGCUAACUACGUG